GUGCUUUAGGGAUGAACAAAGUCCCUCAUAUUGAAUUUAUCCAUCUGAUCACUUUGUCAGCUUUUCUUUUUUAAUAUCUUGCUGAUCAUUAUAGGAUGGAAUAUUG